rnacentral:rRNA from 1 species
CUAAUGUCCGAAACUAAUUGUUAAGUGGAAAUGGAUGUGGGGUUGCACAGACAACUAGGAUGUUAGCUUAGAAGCAGCUAUUCAUUCAAAGAGUGCGUAAUAGCUCACUAGUCGAGUGACCCUGCGCCGAAAAUGUACCGGGGCUAAAACAAUUUACCGAAGCUGUGGAUACCUUUAUAGGUAUGGUAGGAGAGCGUUCUAUGUGUGAUGAAGGUGUACCGUGAGGAGUGCUGGAACGCAUAGAAGUGAGAAUGCCGGUAUGAGUAGCGAAAGACAGGUGAGAAUCCUGUCCACCGUAAGACUAAGGUUUCCAGGGGAAGGCUCGUCCGCCCUGGGUUAGUCGGGACCUAAGGAGAGACCGAAAGGUGUAUCCGAUGGACAACAGGUUGAUAUUCCUGUACUAGAGUAUGUAGAGAUGGAGG